AAGCCAGUUGCAGAAGUCGUUCUACUUCUACCUAAAGACUGAUUUAGAGACUGAAGUUUUGUAUCAUGUUCAUGCUGACCUUACAAAGGUCAGGCGGGGAGUGAGUUUCCUUUAAGGCAUUUGUUUAGCUUUAUUACAUUUUCGCUUCAGUAAUUCAUUUGUAAUUAUUUUCUAGUUAAAGUUAAGGUUGUUGAAAGUAAAUUCAUUGUCUGUGAUGUAUCGCGGUAUGCGAUGACGUCACACCCGUUUUUGCCGCGUCUUGUGGGAAAAUACCGGUUUGGAGAAACGGGAAGGAGGGGGCUUGUGUGUGCAGGAUCAGUGCAGGAAAAGUUUUCUUUCUAUGCACUAAGAACCAUCAUAGAAGCAACGCUACACUGCCAAUUUUUUUUAUAUGAAGACCAGAAUUACAACUCAAAUCACCACCAGAGAUGACAUUGUCGAGCCAAAAGGUGUCCAGUCUCAUCCUUGUUCAGUCUUAUCCUUACUCAAAAUGGCAAGGAACAGAAGAUGAGUGAAAAGGCUUACAGGAAAAUCAAGAAUUUAUUGAAGCAACACACACAAAAUGCUGGAGGAACUCAGCAGGCCAGGCCGCAUCUAUGGAAAAGAGUACAGUCGAAGUUUUGGACUGAGACCCUUCAUCAGGACUCAUUUAUGAAGAACUAGAUAUAAACAAAGACUGACGAACCACCAAUGUCUAAAAGAAGAGAAAUUGUGCAAAUAAAGUAAAUAAAUAAAUAAUACUGAGAACAUGAGUUGAGGAGUCCUUGAAAAUGAGUCCAUUGGUUAUGUAAGCAGUUCAGAACUGAGGCAAGUGAAAUUAUCCACGCUGGUUCAGGAGCCUGAUGGUUGAAGGGAAACAACUGUUCCUGAACUUGGUAGUGGGAGCCCUUGAUGAUGGCUGCUGCUUUCUUGUGGCAGUCCUCCUUGUAAAUAUGCUCAAUGGUGGGAAGGCUUUGCCUCUGGUGGAUUGUAUCCACCACUUCUAGUUAGUUUAUAUGCACAGAGUGCUUAAGAUCUCAGCUAAGAUCACUGGCACAGGUGAUUGUGUGUCAUUUUUGUAUAAUAUUGAUCUGAAUGUGUGGCCCAGGAAUAGUCCUGCCCAGAUGUGCAGAAGCCAACUCUGUAAUGAAUGAUUAGUCUACUUUGGUGAUAUGUGAAGUGAGCCGACAUAACCAGUUCCAGCUCCAUGGAAUGCAGGGUUGCAAACCAAUGGAAAGUUGGCCCAUUUUAAAUGUUUUCCCCUUGAAGGAGGUCACUACCUGGAAUUCCCAAGGAUCACAUACUUGGACUGAUCAUGACCUUAACCUGCACUCAACCAUGACUGCUUUCUCAGCCAACUGUAAAUCCAAUUCUACAUCUGCUAUGACCCCACUGAACAGACUCAGUUCACAAGAAUCACAAAGCCAAUCACCCACCACCUGGUAGAAAACAAUACCCAUCUCUGCAAGAGACCUCCUUGCCCCACAACACUUCACAGGGCUCUAUCGGACUUCGUCAAAAUGAUGAAAUAACUGUAAUAAUGGCCUCUGUCAGCAUUGAACUUGGAAGGAAGGCUCUAUGCAUAACAGAAUUUUGUUAUGUUUCAUCUCACACAAAAUGUCCAUUAAGCCACCGUGUGUUUAUUAUGCUUUUCUUGACAUGAAAGAACUUCAAGGCCUAUAUUAGAACAAUUUUGUCAUUUCUCUCUAUUUUUGCACUCCAUACUCAAUUCAAUAAAUGCCAAUGCUGUUUGCCUUUUCUGUGUAUUGAUUAUAUUUAUACUUUCAGAGAAGAUAUUAAAACAUUAUGUUGCUAAUGCUCCAUACCCUUCAGUGCCCUUCCACUGAGGUUCGUUUUAAAACUGACUUCCUCAUAUCAACUAAAAUUAAACAAACUGUUGACACAUUCUGCCAGUUCACCCAUGUUCUUGCGCAUUUUUAAAUUACUUUUACUGCUUCUAAACAUUGCUUUCAUGUUGUCAGAAUGAUUGACAAUUAGUCUUCAUACCAAAGUCCUAACCUUUCUAAAUGGAGAAAACCAGCCUGCAUGGUGACCCAUGGAAUUGACCUUCCAGCAACCUUUCCAACCUUCCUUCAAUUUGAGCAACACUAGAACUGGAGACUAAUUCUACGUUAGUCAACCAAAUUUUUAUUAAUGUUGAUUUCUUCUAAACUAUGAAUUUGACC